CAGUCGAGCGAGUCUGCCUUGAAGAUCGGAGUGCUUGCACUCUGUGAAACAAGAUACAGGCUAGCGGCGGACGGGUGAGUAACACGUGGGUAACCUGCCCAAGAGAUCGGGAUAACACCUGGAAACAGAUGCUAAUACCGGAUAACAACAGAUGAUGCCUAUCAACUGUUUAAAAGAUGGUUCUGCUAUCACUCUUGGAUGGACCUGCGGUGCAUUAGCUAGUUGGUAGGGUAACGGCCUACCAAGGCGAUGAUGCAUAGCCGAGUUGAGAGACUGAUCGGCCACAUUGGGACUGAGACACGGCCCAAACUCCUACGGGAGGCAGCAGUAGGGAAUCUUCCACAAUGGACGCAAGUCUGAUGGAGCAACGCCGCGUGAGUGAAGAUGGGUUUCGGCUCGUAAAGCUCUGUUGUUGGUGAAGAAGGACAGGGGUAGUAACUGACCUUUGUUUGACGGUAAUCAAUUAGAAAGUCACGGCUAACUACGUGCCAGCAGCCGCGGUAAUACGUAGGUGGCAAGCGUUGUCCGGAUUUAUUGGGCGUAAAGCGAGUGCAGGCGGCUCGAUAAGUCUGAUGUGAAAGCCUUCGGCUCAACCGGAGAAUUGCAUCAGAAACUGUCGAGCUUGAGUACAGAAGAGGAGAGUGGAACUCCAUGUGUAGCGGUGAAAUGCGUAGAUAUNNGGAAGAACACCGGUGGCGAAGGCGGCUCUCUGGUCUGUUACUGACGCUGAGGCUCGAAAGCAUGGGUA
rnacentral:rRNA from 1 species